rnacentral:lncRNA from 10 species
AUGGGAAGGAGUCAGGCUAACAGUCACAUUUUCUGUUUUUCUUCUGUAAUGUGUAAUUUUUUUUCACAACAGUAAACAUUAUUCAUAUAUUUCAUUAUACUUAAAAUUUGUGAUAGAAGUGAAUUUUGCUUAUUCUCUGAAUGUUUUAGUAAACAAAACAUGUUCUGUGGAAGAUUUUCCUGAGUUUUCUGUAAUGUUUCUAGUUUUUCUAUCUAAGACUUCAAUAUUCAUUUCUAAAGACUCUGUUACCUUUUAAAAUUGAGGAUAGGUCAUAUCUGAUAUAUUUCUGAACCCCUCAGUCCCUGUGGAUCUGUUUUUGAAUGUCUGACUCUAUUCGAGAUGUUAGAGUUUCGCUCACCAUAACAUCCCUGUAAUCUGUUCUGUGUCUCUUACCAUCAGACUACUUAGAUAAGUGUAACACCAUGAACAUUUGAGCAUUGUUUUAAGCUUUUAAUUAUUCACUUUACGGAGUCAUUAGAGAAUAAUCAUUCUUUUUAACUAACUAGUAGAUCCUUCUUUUUUUUUUUUUUUUUUUGAGGUGGAGUCUUGCUAUAUCACCCAGGCUGGAGUGCCGUGGCACAAUCUUGGCUCACUGCAACCUCUGCCUCCUGGGCUCAAGCGAUUCUCCCACCUCAGUCUCCCUGGUAGCUGGGACUAUAGAUGCAUGUCACCACACCUGGCUAAUUUUUUGUAUUUUUGGUAGAGAUGGGGUUUCGCCAUGUUGCCCAGGCUGGCCUCGAACUCCUGAGCUCAAGUGAUGUGCCUGCCUCAGCUUCCCAAAGUCUAGGAUUACAGGUGUGAGUCACUGCACCCGGCCAUAGAUCCUAUUUUUAUUGAUCCUUUGUUCACUUUAAGGCAGGGGUCCCCAACCCCCAGGCCACAUAUACCUACUGGGCUGUGGCCUGUUAGGAAACAGGCCAUACAGCAGGAGGUGAGUAGGGCAAGUGAGCAUUACCACCUGAGCUCCACCUCCUGUCAGAUCAGUGGUGGCAUUAGUUUCCAUAGGAGUGCGAACUCUAUUAUGGACUGCACAUGCGAGGGAUCUAGGUUGUGCACUCCUAUGAGACUCUAAAGCCUGAUGAUCUGAGGUGGGACAGAUUCAUUCCUGUAAAUCAUCUGCCACCCUGUCCGUGGAAAAAUUGUCUUCCACAAAACUGGUCCCUGGUGCCAAAAAAGUUGGGGACCACUGCUUUAGGGGGUGCUGAACCUAACUCCUGGUAAUAUAAAGAGUCAAUUUCAUGUUUCAUAUAAUUUUCUGAGGCUUUUCAGGAAAUCUUACUUGAGUUAUGCACUGAAAAAAUAAUGUUUUUUGCCAUUUUUAUUAACUUGCAAGUACUAGUUGCUUAUUGGGUGAGAUGACUUGGUUAUGUUAACCGUCUCCUCAGUAACCAGAACUAGAGGUUUGGAGCUGCACGUCAGUAGGACUUUGCGUGAUGAUGCUUGAGUUCUGUAUCUGCGCUGUCCAGUCCAUUAGCCACUAGCCAUAUGUGAUGUCAAACAUUUGACAUGAGGGUGGUGUGAGUAAGGAACUGAAUUUUUGAUUUUGUAUGAUUUAAAUUGAGUUUUAAGUAACCACAUGUGGCUAGUAGCUAUAUAGCUAGAGCGGGUUUAGAGAAUGUCCUUCAACUUUUUU